rnacentral:rRNA from 1 species
GAGUUUGAUUCCUGGCUCAGGAUUAACGCUGGCGGCGUGCCUAACACAUGCAAGUCGAGCGGCAGCGAGUUUUACACUGAAUUCUGGAAGCUUCUAGUUGAAAGAGAAGAUUUAUUCAAGAAUUUUGUGUAAAAUGUCGGCGAGCGGCGGACGGCUGAGUAACGCGUGGGAACGUACCCCAAAGUGAGGGAUAACGCAUCGAAAGGUGUGCUAAUACCGCAUAUGGUCUUCGGAUUAAAGCCUUCGGGCGCUUUGGGAACGGCCUGCGUAAGAUUAGAUAGUUGGUGGGGUAAUGGCCUACCAAGUCGACGAUCUUUAACUGGUUUGAGAGGAUGAUCAGUCAGACUGGAACUGAGACACGGUCCAGACUCCUACGGGAGGCAGCAGUGAGGAAUCUUCCACAAUGGGCGAAAGCCUGAUGGAGCAACGCCGCGUGCAGGAUGAAGGCCUUCGGGUUGUAAACUGCUUUUAUAAGUGAUGAUUAUGACAGUAACUUAUGAAUAAGGAUCGGCUAACUACGUGCCAGCAGCCGCGGUCAUACGUAGGAUCCGAGCGUUAUCCGGAGUGACUGGGCGUAAAGAGUUGCGUAGGUGGUUUAAUAAGCGAAUAGUGAAAUCUGGUGGCUCAACCAUUCAGACUAUUAUUCGAACUGUUGAACUCGAGAGCAGAAGAGGUAGCUGGAAUUUCUAGUGUAGGAGUGAAAUCCGUAGAUAUUAGAAGGAACACCGAUGGCGUAGGCAGGCUACUGGGCUGUUUCUGACACUGAGGCACGAAAGCGUGGGGAGCGAACCGGAUUAGAUACCCGGGUAGUCCACGCCGUAAACGAUGGAUACUAGCUGUUUGGGGUAUCGACCCCCUGAGUAGCGAAGCUAACGCGUUAAGUAUCCCGCCUGUGGAGUACGAUCGCAAGAUUAAAACAUAAAGGAAUUGACGGGGACCCGCACAAGCGGUGGAUCAUGUUCUUUAAUUCGAUGAUAACCGAUAAACCUUACCAGGUCUUGACAUCCUUGGAAUCUUUCAGAAAUGAGAGAGUGCUUUUUAAGAGCCAAGUGACAGGUGAUGCAUGGCCGUCGUCAGCUCGUGUCGUGAGAUGUUUGGUUAAGUCCAUCAACGAGCGCAACCCUUGUCAGUAGUUGUAUUUUUCUACUGAGACUGCCCCGGUAACGGGGAGGAAGGAGGGGAUGACGUCAGGUCAGUAUUUCCCUUACGUCCUGGGCUAGAAACGUGAUACAAUGGCUAGUACAAUGCGCAGCGAAGCCGCGAGGUGAAGCAAAUCGCAUCGAAGCUAGUCCCUGUUCGGAUUGUAGGCUGAAAACUCGCCUGCUUGAAGUCGGAAUCGCUAGUAAUCGCUGAAUCAGCUUGCUGCGGUAAAUACGUUUCCCGGUUCUUGUCCACACUCGCCCGUC